rnacentral:misc_RNA from 1 species
CAGGAUUCGAUCUAUCCGUCAGUCCAUGGCUACCUCCCUUUCUGUCUCCAACUUCCUCUCCUUCCUCUCGCCCUCAAACCCACCUCCCAAAACCUCACCUCAACUCUCAUUCUCUUCUCCACCAACUCAAUUUUUAUCUCAAAAAUCGAAGGAUAAGUUUAUUCCACUGGUGGCCCAAGAGGGUCACUCCGGUUCUUUAUCCGCUGAAUUGUCCUCGGUUAUCUGCCCAUCUCUUGCAUAUGCGAAUACCCUUUUCUUCAAAUCGGCUUACAAUGUGCAGGUUAUUGUGGAUGAUAAUGAGCCUGAAGAGAGGCUGUUAAUAAGGUUCAGAAGAGAGGUCAUGAGGGCUGGUGUCAUUCAAGAAUGUAAGAGGAGGAGAUUCUUUGAGAACAAACAUGACGAAAAGAAACGCAAGUCCCGUGAAGCCGCUAAGCGUAACAAGAAAAGGUAUGUCUUGUUCUCUUGUUCUUUUGAUUUUCUUCUUAUUGUUUGUUUGGCUGAGUGAAUUUGAAGGAAAGUAAAGAAUUGUAAGAUUCAACAUAUUACUUAUGCAUUGAGCUGAGUGUAAUGUGAAAUUGCCUGUUAGAUAUUGUCUGGUUGUUGAGGACUUUGACAAAGAAAUUGUUUUCAGGAAUAUUAUUAAAUGUAUCUCAGGUAUUAUUAAAUGUAUCUCAGGCUUAGUGAUUUGUAGAAUUGCGCUUUUAUUAUUAUUAUUUUUAUUUUUGGCGUUUGGAUGCUGAGAAAAUGAGGAGCUAGAAAGACAUUAAAAGAAGAGGAGAGUGUUUUAAGUGAUAUGAUCUGUUGGUAUCUAUGAGAUGAGAAAUUUGUAGAAUUCUAGCUUAGAUUAGAUAAUGGCAGAGAUCAUUUGCGUGCUGGUAAGAUCAAGGAAAGGAAAAGCAAAUGCUUUUGUUGGUUAGACAAAAUAUGGCCAAAAACUUGUUUUCUUUGGCUGUAGAGUGGGAAAAUCUGAGUGAAAAGCAAUAUAACUUCUCUCUUGUUUUAGCACCCAUAGCUUUGGAUUUAAUGUGGUUUCUCAUUUCUAUUGUUCUACCUGUGAUGGAUUUGUUUUAUUUUCUAUCUGCUAGAAAUAGAGGGCGUUGGUAUGUAAUUAAGCUCCUUUUUCAUCAUUUAAAUUCAAUAGCAAUUUCGAUUUUCACAAUGAUUUGUGUUUGAAUUGAGGUUUGCUGACCUAACCUCAUUAACAAUAUUGUAUGCUUGUACACAUUGCACUCUCAAUUGGGCAAAUAAUCAGUCAUCUACCGAGUUCGUUAAUAACGAUUUAAAAGAAAAUCUUGCGAGCAUUUUGCAAGAGUAUUGUUCAAUUCUUUGAUUAUUAUAGUUAUGUUACAAAUCUUUUGUAUGGGAUGAACUAGAGAUGCAUUUGCAGUUUGCUCUCAAGAUUUUGAUAUCUGCAUUUUGUAAGUUUUCCUGCUUCGAAAUGUGUAUUAUGUUAGCUGUUAUAUUGCAACUUGUUAUGGCUUUUCUAAUGUCUUUUGCCAUGAAAUUUAGUAAUGCUGAUACGAGCAUUGGCCGAGCAACAACUGAGAAGCAAUUUUUUAUUAGGCUUUUGUUUUUCUGAGUGGGAAACAUUUGCUUCUUUAUUGUGCUCUAUUCCCUUCAUUCUUUUUAUACAACCUUUUUUUUUCUAUCAAGAAAAUAUUAUUGUUAGGUCAGUAAUGAAAGUGGAUAUUUGUUGCUGAUUAUUCUUGCUGCCAGGCGCCUCCAAUCAAGACCUACAAUGCAAAACAAGCAGGAAAUAUCCACAAGCAAGAAGGAUAAAGAUGACGAAGAUAAUUGGGAGAUGCCUGAAGGAGACCUUUCUUAUUAAACAUUUCACCUUGUUUAUGUUAGUAGUAUGCCCUAGAGUAUAUUUUGAAAGUUGUAUCUUGUAAACUUUUAUUCCCUUUUAAUGACAUGUAUAUUUUCUUUUAAUAUAAAUUAUUUAUAUUUAAUUGAAAAUGUCCUUAAACAACUUGUUAAAUGUUCUAUUCUUAAGGUGUUAAGAAUAUGAGUGACAGAACAUACAUGCACAAGUAUUAUAAAUGUGGUUCGCAAUUGAGGAUACUUCAUAAGGGGCAUGACUUAUCUGGAAAUAUUGUCAUUUAUGUUUGUGUUCAUAG